UUAAUUUAUUAAAUUUAAUUUUUAAAGUAACUGCUUAUUGAAUGUCUGAGGAAGGUGGGGAAUAAGUCAAAUCUUUAUGGCCUUUAUGGCUAGGGCUAUCCACGUGUUACAUAGGCUAUUACAAUGAGAAGCAAAAAAGUGAUUUUUAGCAAAUCUUUAAAACUGAGCCCUUGUUCGAAUUGUUUUCUGAAACUUGAAAACACGAAGCAGGAAUCGCAAGUAAUCGUAAACGAGAACGUUACGGUGAAACGUAUAACUGGUCUUGUACACACCGCCCGUCACGCCAUGAAAGUCGGUUUUAUAUGAAGUUUCCUUUAAACUAAAUUAGAUCUAUCUUUAUGUGAUAAGUUUUUUUUAUAGAUUUUUAAUUUUUCUUUUUUAAAUUAAAAGAAUUAUUAUUCUUUUAUUAAAUAAAGUACUUGUUAUUUUUUUUAGUUUUUUUAUUAGUAAAGGACG
rnacentral:rRNA from 1 species